rnacentral:tRNA from 1 species
GCCCGCCUAGCUCAAUCGGAUAGAGCGUCAGACUCUUAUGAGUGCGAGCACUGCGGUGCUGCAAUCUGAAGGCUGCGAGUUCGACCCUCGCGGUGGGCU